rnacentral:lncRNA from 1 species
CUGGGUUUAACUUUUAAUUUUAAAAACAAAAAAGCAGAAACCAAAAGCCUCCUAGGUUGGAAGUGGGCGUGAGAGGAAAUGCUAGAGGGAGGCGCUUCAUUCCCCGGGCUGCCUGUGCCCCCCUUUCUGGCCCCUGCCCGGGGCUUUGAUGUUAUCUAGUGCACCGCCUCCAUCGGUUUCUACCUUGGGCUCUGCGCCGCCGAGAAGAUAGACAGAUCUUCCGCACUUCACUUGCAGGUUCUGAGAGAGGCAAGCAGGUAGUCGCGGGAAAGGACCCACACUCCUUAGCCCCGCAGUGAGAGAGGAACAUUUGCACGGGCUUCCUGUUGCUACCUGGACUGAAAUGAACAAUCCACCCCUCUAGUGAUCCUGGAGACUUGCACCGUAUGGUCUUUCCUGCUAGACGCACAGCGGGAGGCCUCCUACAUUAGAUUCAUUUUCCCUCCACCCGUAGCACAAACUUGUAAGAUGGUGGUGGAGUAUGUUUCCUGAGGCUUUGUUCGGGUUUUAGAUCUCAGUUUGGAAGAUUACUAAUAAAGAAGGACGGCAGUGUCUAGCAAUCAGCCUUACCUGUGCCUCCACUUUACACCAACAGAAGCUUGUGUUCAGGCCUUGCCCUCUGGAAGAUUACAAAUUAAUGGAGACAGGAUAAACACAUGGAAAAAUACCUAGAGGGAAAAAAAGAUAUAAGAGGCUUAUAAACAGAGCCAAUUAAAGUUAUACAGUUAUUUACAUGAUCGCUGAGAGGCUUCUGCUUGAGUAGAGGACGGGGUGAGCAGAGUCCCAUCCUGGGGGUGAGUUCUCAGUGGGAUAUUGAAGGAGAGAAAGUUCACGAUUUGGCAGUGGUGGAAGUACAGCAUUCUAGAGGAGGGAAAUAACUUGAAGGUGAGAGCAAGUGAACUGUGUGUGAUGGUUUUUCCACCGAGAGCAGAAAGUCUAAGCAAAUGGGAAACAAGUAACACCCAUGCCAGGACAC